UACGGAGGUGGCAAGCGUUGUUCGGAAUUACUGGGCGGAAAGGGCGCGUAGGCGGCAAGGCAAGUCAGGUGUGAAAGCCCCGAGCUUAACUCGGGAAUUGCAUCUGAAACUGCUGUGCUUGAGUUCUGGAGGGGGUAGUGGAAUUCCCAGUGUAGCGGUGAAAUGCGUAGAUAUUGGGAGGAACACCUGCGGCGAAGGCGGCUACCUGGACAGAAACUGACGCUGAGGCGCGAAAGCUAGGGGAGCGAACGGG
rnacentral:rRNA from 1 species